UAAACAAAAGAUGGUUACUAUCCCAAAAGCACCAGCUAGGUUUCCAAGCAAACUCAUAUACAUACAGUUGGCCAGUUUGCUUGAUCCUUUAAUUUGUAUACGAUUCAUUGCACAGUACGCCGGCUCUCUUUACAGCCAGUCGGAAUGGAAGGUAUGAGGAAUUUGAGACGCACGAGGUAGCCAAACCCACGAGAUCCUUCGGGUAGCGUCUGCUCCAAUGAACAUGCUGGAAGGUGGUGGAGUUCUGCAAACGCUUGGCCUUGCUGCUCCAUUGGUUGUCCUUCAGUUGCUGCUUCGAGAUGCUUGAUGGUAUAUAGGACCUUUUCGUUUGAUGAUUUUCAUCUUCUUUCAAAACUAAUGGCAGAAGUCGACCGAAUCAUCAGUUUUAUCACGAUCAAUGCCAUUAUCAUGUUUAGACUGUCUGUCUGACUAUCUUUGACGAUGUGGUAGUUGUAGAUGUACUAUCCAUGUUAUUACAAGCAAUGAAGCAAACAUGAGUAGCCAUGUGGCAAAGUAGUGGAGUACUCACUCGGUCACAUGAAAACCAACCAAGGAUAACAUGUGAUGUUUUCUAGUGUAAUGAAGAUCUAGACAUGGUAUGUUCAGAUUCAUUCUACUAGAAAAAUGUCAUAUUAUAUUUCA